rnacentral:tRNA from 1 species
UGGCUCAGCGGUAGAGUGCUUGCCUGGCCUGCAGGAAGCCCUGGGUUCAAUCCCCAG